UCGGUGAUAGUCUAAUGGUAAGGAUCUUGCGUUGUUGCCGCAGAAAUCCAGGUUCGAAUCCUGGUCACGGCA
rnacentral:tRNA from 1 species